rnacentral:rRNA from 1 species
AUUGAACGCUGGCGGCAGGCCUAACACAUGCAAGUCGAGCGGAUGAAGGGAGCUUGCUCCUGGAUUCAGCGGCGGACGGGUGAGUAAUACCUAGUAGUCUGCCUGGUAGUGGGGGAUAACGUCCGGAAACGGGCGCUAAUACCGCAUACGUCCUGAGGGAGAAAGUGGGGGAUCUUCGGACCUCACGCUAUCAGAUGAGCCUAGGUCGGAUUAGCUAGUUGGUGGGGUAAAGGCCUACCAAGGCGACGAUCCGUAACUGGUCUGAGAGGAUGAUCAGUCACACUGGAACUGAGACACGGUCCAGACUCCUACGGGAGGCAGCAGUGGGGAAUAUUGGACAAUGGGCGAAAGCCUGAUCCAGCCAUGCCGCGUGUGUGAAGAAGGUCUUCGGAUUGUAAAGCACUUUAAGUUGGGAGGAAGGGCAGUAAGUUAAUACCUUGCUGUUUUGACGUUACCAACAGAAUAAGCACCGGCUAACUUCGUG